UGAGGAAUAUUGGUCAAUGGACGCAAGUCUGAACCAGCCAAGUAGCGUGCAGGAUGACGGACCUAUGGGUUGUAAACUGCUUUUAUAUGGGGAUAAAGUGGGGAACGUGUUCCCUUUUGCAGGUACCAUAUGAAUAAGGACCGGCUAAUUCCGUGCCAGCAGCCGCGGUAAUACGGAAGGUUCGGGCGUUAUCCGGAUUUAUUGGGUUUAAAGGGAGCGUAGGCCGUUUGGUAAGCGUGUUGUGAAAUGUAGGAGCUCAACUUCUAGAUUGCAGCGCGAACUGUCAGACUUGAGUGCGCACAACGUAGGCGGAAUUCAUGGUGUAGCGAUGAAAUGCUUAGAUAUCAUGAAGAACUCCGAUUGCGAAGGCGGCUUACGGGAGCGCAACUGACGCUGAGGCUCGAAGGUGCGGGUAUCGAACAGG
rnacentral:rRNA from 1 species